CUCUGUUUCUGUACUGACUGAGGAAGUUCUAACAAGACAGUAACUGCAGAAUGAGAACAUGGAAAGAACACGGUCUCUGGAGUCAUUCAGCACCUAGGCCACUUUGAGAACAUUUUAGCUGACAACAGUGUGAACGACCAGACCAAAAUCCUUGUGGUUAAUGCCGCCUACUUUGUUGGCAAGUGGAUGAAGAAAUUUCCUGAAUCAGAAACAAAAGAAUGUCCUUUCAGAGUCAACAAGACAGACACCAAACCAGUGCAGAUGAUGAACAUGGAGGCCACGUUCUGUAUGGGAAACAUUGACAGUAUCAAUUGUAAGAUCAUAGAGCUUCCUUUUCAAAAUAAGCAUCUCAGCAUGUUCAUCCUACUACCCAAGGAUGUGGAGGAUGAGUCCACAGGCUUGGAGAAGAUUGAAAAACAACUCAACUCAGAGUCGCUGUCACAGUGGACUAAUC
rnacentral:sRNA from 1 species